rnacentral:lncRNA from 12 species
GUGUGAUCCUGGAGACCUGGGAUCGAGUCCCACCUCUUGAUGGCUGCAUGGAGCCUACUUCUCCCUCUGCCUGUGUCUCUGCCUCUCUCUCUCUGUGUCGGUCAUGAAUAAAUAAAUAAAAUCUUAAAAAAAAAGGAAUUGCCAGAUGGGUGUGUACAGCUCAGACAUUGGCAGAUAGUCCUAAUUGCCAAAGAUAGGCGUUCACUUUAUACUCUGCUCCUUGGUUCGUGAGAGGGCUUUUUGCCUUGCCUCUUUGCUUACCCCUGUCUUAUCGUUCUUGGUAAUUGUUGCUAGUAGGUUGGAUGAAAAUGUUGUCUCAUUGCUACUUUAAUUUGCACAUCUAUGAGUAGUAAGGCUGAGCCCUUCUGUGUGUCCUGGCCAUCAUGUGAACUGCUUGUCCUCUGUAUGGUUUUUCUCUCUCUUCCAAAAGGAGUUUUCAGACCCUAGUUCAUGCCCAGCUUUCCUACCAGGGUAUUGUGGGCUCCGGUGUCCAGAUGCUGGCAGGCUAUGUGGGUGGUUGAGAAGAGGCAUCAUGCUGGGGAAAGGCUUCUACGUAUCCCCAGUGCACUGGGAGAGCCUCUAUCCCAUGCUUGCUGCUUAGUGGGCACUCAAGAGCAGCUCUGGAGCAAGUGAACGUCGCUUGAAGGUAUUUCUGAAACAUGACGGACCUGCUCAGUGUACACAGGAUCGGAAUCAUGACUUGUGCCGUACAACCGGUAGAGCUGCCACAGUAUAAAAAUGGCCAAAUUUUUAUCAGGUAGAAAAUAGAUAAGUAUUGCCAGUGCUACAUCCAAAUAUUAUACACCAGUCCUAAAAGAUCUCACCCUUGUACAUGAUCAUCUUUUUUUAUUUUUUUAAAGAUUUAAUUUAUUUAUUUGACACAGGGUGCACAAGCAGGGGGAGUGGCAGAUGGCGGGGGAGAAGCAGACUCCUACUGAGCAGAGAGCCUGCUACAGGGCUUGAUUCUAGGACCCCGGGAUCAUGACCUGAGCUGAAGGUAGAUGUUUAACCAACUGAGCCACCUGGGUGCACUGUCAUCCUUAAUUUCUCUAUCCCAGGAAAGAAAUCCUCACCUGGAAAACAAGCCUUCCAGAAUGUUCUUCACUACAACUGUAUAGCAGAACACAGCUGCUUUUUUUUUUUCUUCUAUGGGCAUUGUUGGUGUCAGCCUGCUGUUCAAGGUUUGAUGGGGUUGUGGGGAUGUGCCCUCUGAAGUACUUUCCAGAUCAAAGUGUCUGUGGCCCCAGCUCUAUCCUUUCUAUACAUUUUUCAAUAUGCUCUUCUGUGGUCUGUGGGAGCUUUCAGGGUACCAGCUCCUUAUAGUACAAAAGAAAGCCACCGAAGUUUCUUUGGAUCCUCAUCCCCAGGCCCUUCAUUGACUUGUUU